UAAUAAUAAGAAUAAAAAAAUUGUUAUUAUAAAUAAGCAAUGUGAUUUUUUUCCACUCUGAUCACUCUCCUCUUUCUUUGUCUUUAUCCUUUCGCAUUC
rnacentral:ribozyme from 13 species